AGUGCAAAAAAGCAUUUGCAUAGUCUAGACCAGUGGUUCUCAACCUGUGGGUCGCGACCCCUUUGGGGGUCGAAUGACCCUUUCACAGGGGUUGCCUAAGACCACCGGAAAACACAUAUUUUUGAUGGUCUUAGGAACCGAGCCAUAAUUUUAUGGUUGGGGGUCACC